GCCCGGGGUCGAUUUUUGACUUUUUGAAAAACUUGUAAUUGUGUAUUGGGAUUGAUUUAUUUAGCGAUGAUAGAUAUUAUUAAGUUAAUUAUAACUAGAUACGAGUGUUUUAGAGGUGGAAACUAAGGGAAAAGCAGUGAUUGAGGCUUGAGUUCGGCCAUGGAAUCGAGAUAAGUGUUGCGGCUAACCUUAGCUUGAGGGAUUAGGUGUUGUUGCCUUAUUUUCUAUGUGUUUGAUUGUUGAGUACGACUUAGUGUGAGGUGACGAGUACCUACACGUUGUCAUCGGGUCAUAGCAUGCAAGUGAGUCUUAUACUUGUGACUGUUGUAUUUUUUACUCGUACUGUUCAUGCUUAAACUGGUUAUUCUUCUUGUCAAACAAAUCUUAUCAUGUUUUCCUGGAAUUAGAUAUUGGUUGAGUAUUGACUCAAUUUGAGAUUCAUAUUGUGAAAUUUAACAUUGAAAUGAGGUUGGUUAUUGAUGAUUUCCCUUGCCGGGUUAUUAUUGUUCUAUUGUUUGGGUGAGGAAGAGUGUAAAGCACGAAGGGUGAUGCCGUGCAAUGUUUUGUGAGUGAGUGAUAAUACACGAAGGGUGAUACUGUGCCAUAUUCUGUGAGUGUUAAUGCACGAAGGGUGAUGUCGUGCCAUCUUCUAAGAGAGUUAAUACACGAAGGGUGAUGUCGUGCCAUUUCUAUUAUUUCUUAUGGUAAGGACGAGAACAAAAGCACGAAGGGUGAUGCUUUGCAUAUAUUUGCUAUGUUAUUAUUUCCGUUGGUGCAAAGCAUGAUAUUUACUACGCUUCUUUACUAUACUAUUUUCAGGAAUUGAUAUUUCCCCUCAGCAUGUUUUCCCCUUCCUGUUAUUAUCUGCUAAUUUCUGUUUGUUGUUAUUUUCUCGUAUAUAAUUUAAUUGCACAGGUUCAUGUUAUUGUCAUGUCCUAGCCUCAUAAGUACUUUGCCGAGGUUAGGUUCGGCACUUACCAGUACAUGGGAUCAAUUGUACUGAUACUGCACUCUGCACUUUCUGUGCAGAUUUUGGUACUGGACUGCACUGAUCAAAGUUCGGUUGCUGCCUUUAGU
rnacentral:lncRNA from 1 species